rnacentral:piRNA from 1 species
CACCAAAGGAUGCAGUACUAGAACUCAAG